UGAGGUGUGCUGGAGCGUACAGAAACGAAAAUGUAGGCAUAAGUAACGAUAAGCGGUGCGAGAAACACCGCCGCCGAAAGACCAAGGUUUCCCCGGCCAUGCUAAUCAGCCGGGGGUCAGUCGGGACCUAACACGAACCCGGAAGGGGCAGUGGAUGGACAAGCGGUUAAUAUUCCGCUACCCGCACGGUAACGGAAGCGACGGAGGCGAGGAGUCGGUGCGUGCAGACGGAACUGCACGUU
rnacentral:rRNA from 1 species